rnacentral:rRNA from 1 species
CUAGUAACGGCGAGUGAAGCGGCAACAGCUCAAAUUUGAAAUCUGGCUUCUUUGGCCUAGCGGUUGUUAUUUGCAGAGGGCGCUUGGCAUUGCACCGGUCCAAGUUCCUCGGAACAGGACGUCACAGAGGGAGACAAUCCCGUACGUGGUCGUUAGCCUUUACCGUGUAAAGCCCCUUCGACAAGUCGAGGUGUUUGGGAAUGCAGCUCUAAAUGGGAGGUAAAUUUCUUCUAAAGCUAAAUACUGGCCAGAGACCGAUAGCGCACAAGUAGAGUGAUCGAAAGAUGAAAAGCACUUUAGACAGAGAGUUAAAAAGCACGUGAAAUUGUUGAAAGGGAAGCGCUUGCAGCCAGACUUGCCUGUAGUUGCUCAUCCGGGUUUCUACCCGGUGCACUCUUCUAUAGGCAGGCCAGCAUCAGUUUGGGCGGUUGGAUAAAGGUCUCUGUCAUGUACCUCCUUUCGGGGAGAACUUAUAGGGGAGACGACAUGCAACCAGCCUGGACUGAGGUCCGCGCAUCUGCUAGGAUGCUGGCGUAAUGGCUGUAGCCGGCCCGUCUUGAAACACGGACCAAGGAGUCUAACAUCUAUGCGAGUGUUUGGGUGUCAAGCCCGACGGCGUAAUGAAAGUGAACGGAGGUGGGAACCUUUGGGGUGCACCAUCGACCGAUCCUGAUGUCUUCGGAUGGAUUUGAGUAAGAGCAUAGCUAUUGGGACCCGAAAGAUGGUGAACUAUGCUUGAAUAGGGUGAAGCCAGAGGAAACUCUGGUGGAGGCUCGCAGCGGUUCUGACGUGCAAAUCGAUCGUCAAAUUUGGCAUAUG